AGCCGACUUUGGCUAAAAACUAUACAUCAAGCGAUGCAACACGGUGUUUUAUUGCUGAGCUUGACUCAAAAAGAGGAGAGUCUGAGAGUGGUCAAGAUAAUUUGCCUAUCACGGAUGAAGACAUUGAGUUGUCUUCUCCAUCAUCCUCAGAAACAGUAUAUGUGGAUGAGAUUGAAGGACUCAAGGAUUUAUUAUUAAUCCUGGGGGAAGAAUAUCUUAUCCAUUGCCUUCAAGAGGAGAUUAUAAAUGUUAUAGAUGUCGAUAUUAAUGAAAUAUCCAAUAGUUUGGUUCAAUGCAAAAAAGGAAUUUUAGAGCCCAUUGCUUACUACUCAUUUUUUUGGAAUGAGAGCAUUCCAAUUGUUCCUUGGACCAUAAACCAAGAAUCUCGACUACAAAAAAAUUAUUUCUUAAUGCUUCUCAAGAAAAUUGGGAUCUAUCUACUUGCAAUGAGACAUACACGUAUCCCUAUGAUACUGAAAGACUGGCCAAUUGAUCAUCUGCUAACUAUUCACAAAAAACUUGAUUGUAGUCAUGAUGUAACCACAGAGUGGAAUUUUGCACAUGCCAACUAACAAAUUGCAAAUUUUGAAAAGCCUAACUUCAAAAUAUAAAAAUACGGAACAAAGGUCGUCUAUAAACUUAAUUUAUUUGUGUUUUUUAAAUGUUUAUUGUUCGUAGAAAGUUUAUGUACAGAUGCUUAUGCUAAUAUCUCAAAUUCACUAAAUGUUAUUUGUCUAUAAUUUUGAUCAAGAGAUGCAACACGGUCUUUUAGUGCUGAGCUUGGCUCACAAGGAGGAGAGUCUGAGAGUGGUCAUG
rnacentral:lncRNA from 1 species